rnacentral:rRNA from 1 species
AUUGAACGCUGGCGGCAGGCCUAACACAUGCAAGUCGAGCGGUAGCACAGAGAGCUUGCUCUCGGGUGACGAGCGGCGGACGGGUGAGUAAUGUCUGGGAAACUGCCUGAUGGAGGGGGAUAACUACUGGAAACGGUGGCUAAUACCGCAUAACGUCGCAAGACCAAAGUGGGGGACCUUCGGGCCUCAUGCCAUCAGAUGUGCCCAGAUGGGAUUAGCUAGUAGGUGGGGUAACGGCUCACCUAGGCGACGAUCCCUAGCUGGUCUGAGAGGAUGACCAGCCACACUGGAACUGGGACACGGUCCAGACUCCUACGGGAGGCAGCAGUGGGGAAUAUUGCACAAUGGGCGCAAGCCUGAUGCAGCCAUGCCGCGUGUGUGAAGAAGGCCUUCGGGUUGUAAAGCACUUUCAGCGGGGAGGAAGGCAUUAAGGUUAAUAACCUUAGUGAUUGACGUUACCCGCAGAAGAAGCACCGGCUAACUCCGUGCCAGCAGCCGCGGUAA